GAAGUUGGAAUUGCUAGUAAUGGCAGGUCAGCAUACUGCCGUGAAUACGUUCCCGGGCCCUUGUACACACCGCCCGUCACACCAUGAGAGUUGGAGAUACCCGAAGCCUGUGAGCUAACUUUUUAAGAGGCAGCAGUCGAAGGUAGAAUCAAUGAUUGGGGUGAAGUCGUAACAAGGUAGC
rnacentral:rRNA from 1 species